rnacentral:lncRNA from 10 species
ACAAGUCUCACUUCCUCUAUUAUCUGGAGUUUGGGCUCUGUGUCUUCAGCAGGCGUGGACAGGAAUUUCCUGGCUCAGAAUGAUACCAGGGGUUUUCCGGUGCUUUUCUAAGAACAGAGAUGGUAGAUAAGGUGAUGUGAGGCUAUGAGAAUAGGAGGCCAGAAAUAUUGUACUAUGGAAGAGUCAACCUGAAGAGGAAGCCAACAAGGCAGCUGAAAGAAUCAUCCAGGAACAAAGCCAGAGCCUUAAUGGUAGCAUGAACUCCUCGAUCAAACCAUUCCUGAAU